UGAAAAGUGUGCAGCAGUUAACACGGACUGUCAAAAGCGAGCUUGAAGGAGCACUGCCAGUUGGUUGCCUCAUUCCCUCAAGCAUGCGUUUUCUGUUGUGCACUCUACCCUGGUUCUGCAAAGUAAUCUUUCUGUUUACCUCGCUGGCUCACUUGAAUCAUCUCCUUGUCCUCCAUGUGCCUUGUCAGACCUUCUAAUAGAAUCUGCUCCGUGGUCUUCCCAGGCACAGAGUUGAGGCUAACAGGCUGAAAAUUUCUGGGGUCCUCCUUUCUGCCCUUUUUGAAAAUGGGCGAAAUGUGUUCCUUCUGCAAACCACCAGGGACUUCACCUGACUGCCAUGAUGCUUCAGACAUCAUGGAAAGUGGCUUAGUGGCUACAUCAGCCAAUUCUCUCGAGACUCUGGCAUGCAUCUUACCAAGUCCCAUAGGAGGCAUGGGGUGAAAGGUUGCCAGUGAAAACUAAGGAGAAGAUGUUCUUGAGGACCUCAUCCUUCUCCUCACCUGUUGUUACUAAUGCAUUGUUCUCACUCUACAGAGGGUAUUUUUUGGUCAUUAGCUUAUUGGCAUCACAUGUGCCUCUUAUAUAAUAAGUAGAA